ensembl:lncRNA
AAACAAAAAUAAAUAAGAUUAAUUUUUUUAUAAGUUGGUGGUUUUCUCCACACAUUCAUUAUUGAAAAGAAAACAUGAAACAAUAAAAACAAGUGUAAGCAAGUCCAAUGGGGAGGUUCUGAUUUUGCUCAUAAUAAUUACGUUAACAAUAGAAAAUAGUAGUUCUCAUCUCUAGCAUAAACCAUAACGUGGUUCUCUCUUCUCUGCCAGACUCUGAGCACCUACCUAUUUCUCCUCCUGGUGAUCUGGCCUGAUCUCUGAGCUAGAUACUCACAUUUUACGGCCUCUCUGAUAAAUCUUUGACAGGUCUAGGGCCACAUGACUGGCAGAUGGAGGAGCUAGGCGUUGGGUGCAGGCUGGCUGUCUCCAAAGUUCUUCACAGCACACACAUGGCUUGGCUUCUUCAGGAGGCUGGCAUCCAGACAGAGGAAGAGGAUCGUCUGGGCUGAUGAGGAAACUGAAGCUUGGUGGGACCUGCCUGAGUUUGCACUGCUGCUGGCAAAGCCAAGGUCCAUGCAGGUCUAAGGCAGUGUGACCCUGUGCUUCAAAGGGACCCAGGGCCAUCAGGUGGACAUGAGCAGGAAGCAAAACUUGGCCUCAUGUGAGUGAGUCCUUAGCUCCCAGGCUAUGAUGACCCAAGACUGGAGUGAGCUCCCUGUCACUGGAAGUGUUCAAGGUGAAGGAAAAGGACCAGCAGGUAGAAUCCUCUAGGCGAGAUGGGCUCCAACCUACCCAGUAUGACCUAAGUGUCCAGGCCUGAACUGAGGACCCCCUCAUGCCCCAACCAAUGGAUGGAUGAGCCAGUCUAGCUGGAGGGCGCGGGCCAGGGGAGAGGAGUCCAGAGUCCAGGCAUGUCUUCCUUCUGGACCCGUACUCCAUGCAGGGAGGACCUCUUCUGUCCACUCAGCCUCUAGGGCACGUGGCUUAUAUUUGUGACUUGAUUGAAUAUAACAAGAAAUGAACGGGAAAGCUGGACUGAACAGGAAAGCUGCCAUGAUGUGCAAUUUCCCAGAAGGGUCUCAGGCAGAAAUCUCAGUUGUCUAUACCUUCCACCUCCCAGCCACUCCCCCUGCUCCCCACCUCCCCCUGAAUUCCACUCCAACAAUUUUCAGGUCUAUUUGCAUGAGCUGUUUAUGCUACUUAGCACCACAUAAAAAUAGGUCAACCUGCCUGCUUCCUACCCCAACCCUGGGCUGUGGCCCUCCC